AGUGAACGCUGGCGGUAGGCCUAUCACAUGCAAGUCGAACGGCAGCACAGGAGAGCUUGCUCUCUGGGUGGCGAGUGGCGGACGGGUGAGGAAUACAUCGGAAUCUACUUUUUCGUGGGGGAUAACGUAGGGAAACUCACGCUAAUACCGCAUACGACCUACGGGUGAAAGCGGAGGACCGCAAGGCUUCGCGCGAUAAG
rnacentral:rRNA from 1 species